rnacentral:misc_RNA from 1 species
CAGAGUUGAAAAACUCCCAAAACCAUUGUGAACGUCACCGUUACUGUUGCUUCGGCAGGUGGCUCCCACUCGGGUGCCGCGCCCUCCCCCUCAGGGGUUGGUAGCCUGCCGGAGGCGUCUCAACUCUCGAUUUCAGUUGGCAUCUCUGAGUAACUUAAAAAUAAGUCA